ensembl:misc_RNA 7SK 7SK RNA
GGACGAGAGGGUAAUCUGGUUUCAACAUCGGUCACCCCACUGAGCAGCUGAUCUGGCUGGUGUGGCUAUUGUCUGCUUUUCUCUCACUAUUCCAUGUAUGUCCAUCUCAAAGUUGAAUAUUUGGUCAAACACAACACAUUUCCCCAGUUGAAGAUCAUUCUUAGGUCAAGGGCAUAUGGGUAACUGCACCCUCCUGCUGGAACUUCCAAUCAGGUUCUCGAGAUAUUGCUAAGGUAAAUGAUUCCAUUUGUUCUUCUCCAUCCUCAUCACUCCACCAGUUUUGACUGGCUUGCCUGA